AUCCACAUUUCGCAUUACUAGGGGAGCAAAAAACCUCAAACACAGAAGAAGAGGGGAGAGACAAAUCAGAGGGGAGCGGCGACGAAGAAGAGGGGAGCGGCCACCAGCGAAAUUUCUUUUCCCUCUUUCAAUCAAACCUAACGUUUCUCUCCGUGAGCCUCUUUCAGUUGGCCGUUGAUCGAAGCAAGCGGCAAGCCCUAAGCCCUAAAUGAUAACGCAUGGCUCAGAGACGAAACCCUAAGUCUGAAGAUUGUGUUUGAAUUUCUCUAACCUCUCUCGCCUUUUGUCUGAUCGGAAGGGAAAGUCUUGUUGGUGUUUGCUGGUUCAAUAAGUGAGAAUCUGAAGGAGGAGGAAACCCAGAGCUCUCUCUUCUCUCCUGUCAAGCAAUUUUAUAGAUGUGAAGAAAUACAGCGCACAAAAGAAAAAUACAAAAGAGAAAAUGACCCCUAAGGGGCCCAAGCCAACCAACAAACAGCCCAAAUAAGGCCCAAAGCUUAAUAGCUUGAAACAAACAACCAAAGUUGUUGAUCAAAUCCGGUAAAGCAAGCCAACGCAGGCAACAAGCAGCAUCAAG